UAGACGGGUUGGGACCGGCCUUCUAUCCCGGUGAACAAUGUUCCACUGAUUAGGCGGGGACAGGAUUCGAACCUGCAAUCUUCAGGUCAUGAGCCUGAUGAGUUGACCAAUUCCUCUACCCCGCUUCUUCCCCUUCUCUUUCGAACUCCGAAAACCAAGGUUCGACUUGCAUGUGUUAAGCAUAUAGUCUGAGUAGCAUGAUGUUCACUUCUUAGCGCUUAGGCCACUACCUAAAAGUAAGCUUUUCGCUCUUUUCCUCUUACAUAACAACGAUGGAGGAGAUAGUAAGCACGACUUUCUACGCAACGAUUUCUUCUUCUCUUAUGAUUUCUCAAGUUACAGGGGGGAGACCAAGAGAGUAGAUUGGCUGGUUUUUCCAGUCAAGUAUAGUUGAUAAUCCCAUUUUCGAAUAUGAAUUUGAAUAGAUUCUCUUUAUUAUUCUAAAUAUAGCUUUUUUAUCUUCCACCCUAUCUCCACAGCUUUGGGCGACCCCCUCCCCUUCCUCUUUUUUUUCGUUUCAAGCAUGGACCUUAACUUACCGAACUGGCUUAGUAAAGUAGAAAUCAUUAGCUGUCAACUGUUCAUAGUCAGCAGUGGAAGAGGGCGUAGCUUUGAUUGCUCAAGUUGCCCUCUCAUGGUUGAAUGUGAAAAAGAAUUUCUUUUGUUUAGCAACAGUCUUAUAAGGAUGAUGCUUCCCCUGUGCCUUAUCAAUAAUUAAUAAGGAAGACCGGGCUAAAGGUAACUACUUUUUGCUCACCCGGUGAAAGGCAUAGUAGGUAAAAAGGCUAUUGGUUGCUUUACUUCCUUACCUCGGGUAGGUUGAAAAAGCUGCUAAGAAGAAUAGUUUUCUUUUCUCUUGCGACCUUCCACGCCAAGGAGGGUUGAAGGGAUCGAUCCCAAUAGCCUUUCACGAGGUGCGUAGCAUUCUUUAUAGCCGUUACGAAAGCUCCCGAAGAGAAAGAGGUCUUUGCUGCUUGACUGCGUGAACCAGGUCCAGGUCUUGCUUUUGGCAUUCCCGCUGUUGACGUCCCAUCGAGUUAGCUAGUUAAGGGUGAAAGGGAUUUAGGAAUGAAUAGCAGGCAAAGUCCUUGCUAGGAAUUCCGGGUAACUUUCUGUAUUCCUUAAGGUUACAGGUGAAGCUUACUUCCUGCGGUAGCCCCUUGGACCUUAGCCUCUUAAGGGUUGGGUUCUAGUGGCGGGCUCUUGGGUCGUCCGGACCCAUAUCUGGUAAAAGUGGUGGCCUGGUUGUCCCCACACCCCCUUAUCAUGCGUGUCUGUGGGAGCAGUUUGUGCUAGCGUUUUGGCGCUCGCCUUAUGGUUCUCAGUCCUCUUUCGCCGAGAUGCCUUUUAAAAAGAUUUUUUCCCGCAUCGGAACAAGACCCACUAUACUAGAUUUAGCCAAUUCGGGUGCGGAUGGGGAUUCCCCAAUAGAUUCUACAGAUUCGGAUUUGGAUGCCCCUGCGCAUAAACAUAUGGAUAGGGAUGCCGAUUCAGAUGCGGCUAGAAAGGCUCGUUUGAGUGAUUCAUAAACCCUCGUCGGGAUAAACAAGCAAGGGUUUCAUCCUCUACUUAUGGGAAUGCUACUUCGAGAAAUGCUGCUUCAGGAUAAACUAGAUAUGUUGCGAGAGAAACUGGAUAUUUUCCUAUGGCUUGGACCCUUUCACUCGAGAACUCAAAGGGGGGAAAGAAUUCUUCAACAUAGUCACAAGAAGGUGGUCUACGACCAUUAGAUCCCUAGAAAGAGGAGCAACUAAGAAGAGAGGGGUAUAAAAGAAGGAAAGGAAUGUCUUCGAUCUGGCUCUUGUUCCCUGUAGGUUUAUAGCACGCUAGGCUAGCUAAGAAAGGUAUUCUAUCUUUCUCUUUUUGUUGUUCGGCUCGAUAGAAUUGUUUAGAAUCCUCUCCUAGCUUCCUCUUUCCAUAGAUAUGAAGACUAUAAAACGUCGAUCAGAGAGCAGGGUUGUUCUAAGAUAUAGAAGUAGUUAAGGGCUUGACUAAGUAGUAGAUAUGGGAUUGAGGGGCGCAGGAGUAGGGUUGUACUCUAGAGGUAAUGCUAUACUCCAUUCUUCCUCCCGGCUUCCUUUCUAUUCUCACUCUCAUCCAACUGAUGAAUGCAAUUGGAGUAGAAUCGCUUUCCCUUACUAGGUUUAGGAAUCCGUAAUUCUUCAAGAAGACGAGAUUACCCCGGAUCAAAAGAAAGCUUCUUAUCGAGAGACAGAUUACAGCAAAAAUGACUCAUGAGGAUAGCUGGAAGCAAGGAACAUUCUUUUGUGGCUUACCCGUUCUAUAAGAGAACGGUUCAACUGGUUAGGCGGUCUGGCGCAUUAUUCACUGCGCUUUAUUUAAAGCAGUGUGCGUCAUCCGGGGUGAUAAAAAAGAACCAUACCCUGUUGACAGUGUCCCUGUCCCUUAAUCAUCAGGCUACCCUCGGAUUCUUCCCUCCAGAUAUUAAUGAGGUGGGCGGGAAGGAUAGAGCCCAACUUAUUAUAUACGGAUACGGAUAUUCCUUGUCAUUCUAAUCUUGAUAUAGUUCCAACAGGCCUAUUCUUUGACUCUCCUAUAGUGUAUAGUAUAUUCUUUCCAUCUUCCUACUAGGAUAGAUAUUCUAACAACAAACUACCUAGCUUAGCUAGUUGGCAGCUCCGCAUCGUGAACUGCAUCGGAAAGGGCAUCCGAUCUCUCUUUUAUGGGCUCUUUCCCUCGUAUCUGACCUAUCCGAGUUAGCCCUCCCAAGCGGACAAAGAGGUGGAUCAUCUGAUCUUGAAAUAGGUCAUCCCGGCUAUCCCGAUCUUUUAUCUGUUCAUUUCGUCAGGUAUCUGAAUCAUACGAUUCUGAGGAUUCUGCUUUUCACAUUCAUUCUACAGGACCAAAACGAGGCCUUUCCUCGCUAGUUGGAAUAAAAACCUCAACAGCAGCCUUCAUUGAACCCCUUCUUCCUAUCCUUGCUACCUAUGAAACGAGUCCCUCUUUCAUUCACUAAAGAAGACGCAGCUGAUAGAUGGAUGAAUAUACAUUUGAUGGCCAGUUCUAUGAAUCAAAAUCUCGAGUUGGAGGCAUCGCUGGGAAAAAAGCCAAUUGAUUCGGUUUUCUCGAAAUCAACGAGUGGACUUGAAAUCAUAGAUCCAUUUUGUGAUCCACGCGACUCAGACAAGAAUCCUAUAUCUUACCCACCCAGUGCUGUUCUGAUUGAAUUUCAAAGAUCUCGCUCGCUGUCAAAGCGCAUUUUGUGAAGUGUUCUCCUGCCCCUGUCACCUGAGAUAAAGUCAACUGGAAACCGUGAUCGGAGUCGUGGUUUGAAGAUGAUGAUUUGAAGAUUCAUUCGACAGAGAAGGGUGUCUUGGUUGCCGAUACCGAGGUUGAAUGAAUCAUUCCACCUGGCAACAGCAAAAGUGGAGUUUGGCACAGGUCAAAGGGGAAAGCAAGGAGGAAUUCCACUUUGGAAAGGAAAAGGGCAGUUCCAAACGAAGGACCCUGGGGCAAGCUUCCCGGUGUCCAAGUGUCAAGUCCCGAGGGCUUGUGUCCGCCGAAAGCUUCCUUUUUUCUUUUUAGUCUUUCCUUGCAAUGAACCGAAAGGUGAGAGGCAGGGCUCGGUCUCAAGGUUGAAUUUAAAGUCACUAGUCAGUCCAACUGCACGAGUGAAGGGCGAAAGUCAAGAUUACGUGCAACCAGGUGUAACGUGUCAAAGGUCACCGAGUCGUCGUAAAGGGGAAUAGGUUGUUUUGCGCAUCCAACAACUGAAAGAGCUUGCGGAGAAGGGUUGAGUUGCGUAAUAGCAGAUUCGUAGGUCAAUAAAUCGUUGGAUUUGAAAUCGAACUCUCUACCUUGGGCGGAUAGGAAUUGAGACUUUCAAUGGUCCGCUCUUCUCUCCUCGUGAUCGAAGCUGACCCCAGAAGUUGGGUAUUCCUUCUUAAGAGGACACUAACCCUCCCGAUCUUGCUAGCCGGGGGCUCAGUCUUUCAAGAUUCAAUCUUUCCCCUUCCGGUCCCAGGGAAUCGCUCUUAUAGUAGGAGGUUUACUAUGUCCCCAACUUCUCUUUAUUAAGAAAGUAGGUUGUCUACUAUAAUUAGAUGUUGAUCGUAAAAACAGAAGCUUGUAAUAUAGCUAGACCAAAUUCAAUAAAUGGAGUCCGGUAAUAACAUUAUGAAACUGAACCCAUAUGGCAGAAAGCAGAAGCGGCGGGUACGUCUGUUCGGGUUCAUUCAUGUCCAAUAAACUUCAAACAAAAGGAGAUUCGGGUAUCAGAGUUGAGCGGACAGGCGACGAGAGGAUGGGGGGAAGAGUAAAGACAAGACGAAAGCAAGAGUUCCGGCAUCUUACUUUACUAGUUUCAUUUCCGUAUGAUAGUCACCCCUUUCUCACUGCUCCCUUUCUCGGUAAAGCAGAGUGAGCAGCUUCUUUCUUUGCUACUGCUGCCAUACCACAAAGAAGUCCAAUAGCUGCGCUUACUUCUUCCUUCAACCCUGAAAAGAGCAUAUGCAUCCCGGGAUUCUCUCCAUCUCAGAAGUGGAUUCCCCUGCAAGGGUACUUGAGUACGACUACGGCUAUGAAAAGCUUAUCGAAAGAGGAGGAAAGAGCGUAAACUCGACUCUAAAAGUUUCAGUUGCCUCCCUCUCUCCGCCCUAUAACUGAAAAAAAGGAGCACGGCGAAAAGCCAACCUUCUUUUUUUUGAUUCGUUUGACGAGGGAAGACCUUAAGUACUGAAUUAAUGAAAUUACACCUAUAUCGCGAAAAAGAGCUGCUCUAGCUUUAGCGCGCACCCUUUCUCCUAUGAGGAAAGUUACUCUUUCCGAUUCAUGUCUGGCCCUUCCUGGGUCUGGAUCACAGUAUACCGGCGACUUUGUCCUUGAAUUCAUUCUAUUUCAUAUCCACCGAUCCGUGGAAGAGACCAAGGAAGAGUAAGAUAGAUUUAGGGCCGGCAGGCGGGUCUAGAAUAGAUUCCCCAACGGGUCCUGACUUUUCAACAACAGAGGCGAAAACUUACUCUUUCAAGUCAAAGUCAAAGUCGGGUAGACUAAGAUGGAGUUUAUUUUACAGUUGUUCCAGGGAUAUGGGUAUAGAGUGAAUUCUAUUCACUCUUUAUGAAGUGGAGUGCACUCCUUAUAUCAUAAAUAUAAAAGUCAGUAUGGUGCCCCGGUAGACGCGCAGACCGAGUGAGUUUCCGCCGAUCCAGAUGUGCCAAAGAUUGAGGACUAUGAGGGUACGGUGCUAUCCUUGUACUUUGUUUGUUGCACAUGGCCUAAUGUACACUUGCCCCCUUUUUCUCACUCUUUUGGUGGUUUGUCAAUUUGAAUCUAUUUUCUUUAUGCUACCGAAAGACGGAAAGGGGAACCGACUCGUUCCUUCCUUGCGGAGGACGAAUCAAGGCCUGAAGUUGGUUCGUCGAGCAAGAGGAGAGAAGGAUCAACAAGGAUUUCAUACCCUAUGCUAGUUCUUUUUCUCUCUCCCCCAGAUAUGCCUUUAAUAAGUCCUCCACCUAUUCUCGUGUGACGACAUCUAUGAUUGUGAAAUUAAGGAAUGAACAGUUGCAACAAUCAUGUUCAAUUUCUUUUGACAGUUUUAGAUUGUGGUGCUUUGUAAUCAAGGGCGAGAAGGAAGUUCAUUGACAGACCGAAGACAAGCCGAUUUGACCGUUCGACAGCUACCGUUGGAGAGCUUUCAACCGGUUUUGUACCUAUACUCCAUUCCUAGCUGAAAGAACCUAUUCGAUAACAGGGUCCAAUAUCCGAUUUGAGGAGAGAGUGGUACCGUACUGGCUUGAAAGCGGCUUUCCUCACUCCCUGGCUGACUACAGGCAUGACUACAGAAGAGAUGGAAUUCCUACCAGACCAGAGAGAGGUGAUUCUCUAACAAAGGAAAGAAAGGAAUGACUAUUUAUAUCAAGAGACAGGCUUGCUAACCUUCGGCCAUAGUGACUAGUGACAAGAGGAGUUGCUUAAGGACCUACGAAGAAAGUGACCGAAGCGGAGUCAAUUCAUAUUAAAACAAGAGGAGAGAAUUCAAUGUUAAUCGCCAUCUCCUUGGCACACGUGACGGAUCAUACUUUCUUGCCUUAGACCACUAUCGAGGCUAUGCGUUUUCAUAGGGCAGAUGAUCCUUACCCGUGAAGGUAGUUUACUUGCUUACUUGUUAAAGUAAGGCAGAAAGAGUACCUGUUGUUAACAAAACGGAGUCUCAAAAGCUCAUUUAUCGCAGUGGUCUCAAAAACCCAAUUAUCGUAUUUAAGAAAAAGAGGUCUAUAAAAGUCACUUAAGAAAGAUGGCGCCUUUGCGAGGAUGUCUUGAAUCAGCCAAUGCCAAGGCAACAAGGCUAGCAUCAAACCUACCUGCCGAGAACCCUCCAACAUUCCUACCAAGGUUCCCAUCCCCGAUGACAGAAGAAGGACGUAACCGGUGUUAAGGUUAGAAGGGUAACUGCUCUCGUAGUCGUAGCCGCUCUUGGGACUGAUUCCUUAAGGAAAUGGAAUUCUUCCAAAAUUCCCAUGGAAGGUGUAGAUGUUUAGGCUUGCCCCUGCUGCUGCUAGAGAAUAGGUCGUCACUUUCUUUGCGGUUGAUGCGGUUAAAUCAACUAGUAGAAGGAAGGUGGCACAGUUCAUCAACUGAAUCCGCGCUUAGAAAGAAUAACUUUGAAGCCACGUUUAGAAUGGUCAGCACCUUUUGAGAAGAAUUGCUCUUUGGAGAGCUAAAUAUAAGGGCGAUGAAAGUUGUAAGCUGUAGAAAGGAGAUUUUUCAUGUUCAUAGACACUUUGAAACUCAUUGUGGAAAUUCACUCUUUUAUUCUGAGUGCGCAGAAUGGUGCUUUGCGGCUACUAUGGGUCUUCAAAAGGAACCGGGAACGGGGCAAAGACAUCCUAAGAAGUUUGCCUAUGGACUCUACCUCAGCGACCUUCUUCCGUACUUUCACGAGAAAGCAAGCUAUCGACCUUAUCUCCGUUAGUUUUUCAAGAUCAGUGAACCCAGAUGUCAACAUCUCUAUGGGGCCUACUCUAGUCUUUUAUCUGCGGAGAGAUGGUCGUUUACAUGCUUACUUACUAAAGUACGGGAAAGAAAUAGCUUACAAGAACAAGUAAGAGAGUUGACUUGCUUACUUUAACAAGUAAGGGAACUGAGGUUGCUUACUAAAGUAAGGGAUUGUUGACCCUUUCCAUCUUGUUUGUACCCACGGGGCACAUUGAACACCAACUCAACUAAAAAGAGAAAAAAGGGUACUCACUCGUCGGUAAGGGAAAGGCUAGGCUUUUCUUACGCUAAUUCUUCUCUUAUUAUAUUUACUAGAUUGACUAUUGCACUGAGCCCUAUUCUAUCUCGGGUAACCUGAUUACGGCUUUUCCGACUAGGCGCCCUACCUAAGCCUUACUUCCCGUCCGACUAGCAUGGUGUCAUAUCACUCUUGAAAGAACACGAGAUCUCGGUCAAUCAGAGCAAUUUCCUGGGGAAAGGGGCAGAACCAUCCCCACCUUAUCAAGACAAUUUGGUACCUGUUUUCAAACCCAUCUUUCGUUGAAAAAUCAAACCAUUCAGCUAGGGCCGGAUAGUAGUCUGAAACCGACUUCGGCUUGGGCCGUGUUCUCUAAAACCCGAUUAAUUAACUGGGCCAGAUUCCCCUGCAACAUACCCUUUCUCAGAACAAGAUUCCGAUUCUGAUUUUGAUUCCUCUUCUUCCCCCGUCCACCGGAACUGGGUUUGUUUGGCAACAACCAAGCGCUAACGUCUGAAAAGGACGAAGAACGGACUCGCUCAACCACCGGAAGAAGGAAAUAGAGGGAGAACAGCAUUGAUUGAGAGGGAGGACAACCCUUUCUUGAUUAGCUAGGAAUAGACAUCGAGAUUCACCUACGAAAGAAAGAUUCUUAAGCGCUAACGUAACUCCCCGGGUAUAGAAGAGAGGUUUGGUUGCUCACUAAAAGUACAGGCCGGGUCCAAACCAAAUUGUGAAAGACCCCUUUUCCCUUAUGUCACUCGGGAAUGGGGAAACUUAUGUGAAACUUUCCCUCCCCACACCUUAAAUAAUCAUAUACCGAGAUCUCGUAUUCGAUCAAUAAAGAACGAGGACUAGCUCACCAGUAAAGGAGAGGGGCGGACUAACUUGACCGGUAGAAGGUGAGAAUAGUCAAUGAAUCGGAAGAGGAAUGUUGAUCGCCUUAGUUUAUGGUUCCGUUCCCCUGUUCAUUAAUAGGGGCUCCCGAAUCCGACUUAUUUGAGGAACAAAGUAGCUCGACCAACGAGAGAGGAACAACUGGCUAAUUUCACACUUACCUAUGAGCUAUGAGAAAAGAGGUUUCUGGAACAGGUAGUGGGUACCGGCUCGCCGAAGACUCAUUCUUUCCUCGGGGAUGACUUCUUGCUGACCUAAGCUCAAAGAGGUGAGAACUCUCAAUCGAAUGUGAUCGACACGACAGUCCCAUCCUUCUGCUUUCCUUUGUAUGAAAUGAGGGCCCCCCUAUCACUUAAAGGCAGCCUCCUAACCCGCGGAACCUGCUUGCCCGUUGGUUAGCUGCAUCUGUUCUUUGAACAUGGAUGGCGGUACCGAUUCUAAGUCGUUCUUGUGCUCUAAAAGACUUGCCUCAUAAGAGAAAAAAAUGACCUGCGGGAACUCACUCUCCUGCGCUAGUUAAUCAGAUGCCAUCCGAGUCGCCACCAAUCAUGAAUCAUGAUGGGGAGAUUGGUCAUCUUCUAGCUUACUCUGCUAGAACUACUAUAACUUCCACGGCUGCUACUAAGCUAAUAAGAUCGAGGGGCCGUAGGCGGUGAUUCAAAAAUGUUCAUUUUAUUUGAUAAGUAAUCAAGGAGCUAAUAGUAUAUAGCACUCAGAUGAGGCUUAGUGAAAAACUAAACUGAUUCAAGUUAGCCCAACCAAAGGACUAAUCCAGCUACAAAUGAAAGAGUAAAGCGCAUUAUCUUCAUUCCACUUCCAAUUAAAUGUGUUACGCACAGUGACAUUUGCCAAUCCUGUUCCUGUUAGGAAUCAAUUUGAUAAAAAAUAUACAGCCACGAGCUCUCUCUCUUUCUUAUCCCGUCUCUUAAGGAAAAGCGCCUCGAGGAUAUCAAUCAUAAUUCUAAUUAAUAUAGUAGACAAAACCAACGAUUAGCCCUGUCUCUUGCUGUUCUUCCAUUCCCGACACCAAGCCAAGUCCGUGCUCUUUUUUAGUAGUCUUUGUAAAUAUCCUUUGGGAUUUUUACCCUAUCUCCACUUUCCUAACCCUCGGAGAAUUCUAUCCUUAGUCUAAUGAAAACACAUUAGGAAAAUGGUAAUUUUAGAUCCCUUGUUCCCUUAGGAUUAGGAAACCUAUAUCCAUGACGAAACUUUCCUCUUCCACCGCUUGUCCCUCAUCACGCAGGAUGAACAUCUGAACUUCUCGACCAGGCUCCAACAAACCUUUACCGCGACCAUGACGAACACCUGGGGGCAAGAGAACAUUCUUAGAAUACAGAUAGGCAGAAGACAUUACGCUAGCCAUAAACGCUUUCCUUCAAUGACCGAUGAACAGACGAACCAAGCGAGCUCAAUGCAAAGAACUCGAGUGAGGGGAUCUGGUUACUUUGUAUAAUAUGUCUUACGAGUAGGCAAUGCUAAUGGAAGACGGAAGUCAGACAAGGCGAUGACUAUUGACAUAGCCUAUAGAUUUGGUAAUUCAUAUUGUGAAAGUACUUAACUUCAGAUUCAAUAAAGAUCUGGAAUAAGACACGAAAGGGCAAUGCGGAAUAGCUAGUCUAGAGCUAGAGAAAGAUUUUGACUUUAUCAAUUAAUAUCCUACAGCUUGCAUUCGUCUUGCACAACCGCCCCAGGAAAGUAAUUAUCAUUAAGAGGGAGAACUUUGAUAUCUAACUACGACAGCUAUGGGGCACGAAGGGUUUAAGAAUAAGAACAAGUGACGGAGAAGUCGUUUACUGAUUAGCUGCUUGAACGUGGAAAGAUGUCGGCAUAUCUGCUCUUAGGUGAGUAUCCGCUCUUGCUGGUGUUGUUGGAAUAAGCGCUGCUAUUGAAGACGGUCUUAGAGAAGGAGCUGCUAAAGCAACUGCCAAAUAACUUUCCUGUUGAUGCUACAACACCGCUCUUGCCGCGAAAAAAGCGUCUUAGCUUGCUUUUCUUUCAGAACAAAUAGCUUGUUUUCAGGACAAAUGAAAGAAGAGGUUGUAGAUAGUCGUUACUUGGCUUACUUUACUGGGGAUUGCAUACCUGUCACUCGCUUUGCCUCACUGUGCUUUGAAUAGCCCUACUUUCGAACCUCUCCUGGGGGCAAUGAUAAAUCACCUAAGACCGCUAAUGUUCCAUCUAAUUCAAGAACAAGCCCUUCUCAAUGUCUUGCCUUUCGCAUGUGUUUUCUUUGAAAUUGGAAUUCCAACCAAGUUCCCUUCCCAAAGCGGGAACAAGUUGGUGCGACCGAUUAAAGAAGAAGGACAACUCGCAAUGGUACUAUGGCUAGUUGGAAAGCCUUUCAAGCCAAUCUCUUGAUUCACAUGAAUGUGAAACCGUUGCAACCGAUCCUGCAUACCCAUCAUCCGCCGCUUAAAGUAAUGGCCAAGGUUUCUAUGGAUUCAGCCCUGUGGAAAAAUAGUGUUGUGGGCAAUUCAGUGUGUAGUGUCACCCCUGGGACACUAGCGAGUCCGUCCCUAAAAAUUAGGUCCAUGAAGCCAGAGUGCUGUCGCACUAAACGACUACCGUUCCUUAGAUACUCCAAGCCACAAUCUGUAUUGUCCUUGAACCUAGACCAUGGAAGGUUGGUUAUAGUCCCAUUCUAUUAGUGGGAUCCAUAGCCCGCGGGUCUUUCCCAAGCCAGCAAAGAAGAAGGUAGUCUAGGACUACCCUAAGCCUAGAAGAGAAGUAGGCAGGACUUUCAGUUACAAUGUCUAGGUUGGGCAAGCCGCCUUUCGCCUUUCUAAAGCCAAUCGAUUAUCGGAUUUCACCAAGCCAACUACCACUACCUGGGGAUUUCUAGAUCCGCUCUAAGUAUAGCAUUAAGAUUCCAAACUCCAUGAAAGCAGGAGAUUGAUUAGCUAUAGUCAAAUCUCGUGACGGUGAUCAAAGAGCAUUGGCUACGAUACUACAACCUCUGCUCCUGACCCCCAGAUCGAAACGUUACGAUUAACUCCGGUGCUGCUUGCUGGUGGAGGUUGGGAGUAUCUCAACUAUGAAUAAGAAGUCGAAGAAGCCCUAGAUCCGCCUCUUACUUACCUACCUUCCCAGACUAGCUAGUCAGGGCGAAGCAUUCUUAGCAUUAGUAGUUUUGGCACGAUAGACUCAUGAGAUGUGACCUCAUGAUGGGUCGGUGGGAAUGGCUCGUGAUCGUGCAUUCAAUCAAUUUCCCUUGGAAACGAUGGUCAAGGUUUGCCGUAAAUAAACAGAUGAGUUCGAUUCAAGCAUCCGAACAAGAAUACGGUUCAGAUACCCCAAACAAGAAGCCACUUAGGAUUUUUUUCUUUUUCUAUCCCGGAGGGCGGGUCUCGUGACAACGCCUUCCUCUGCGGUCUCUAUUCGUAGGAAUAGAAUCGUCCAAGUAAUUGCGUCUAUCACUGAAGGCAGCCAAGAGUCACUCAGGGCUAUUGUACUUGUACUACUCAGCUGUUAUAGUCCAUUAGAGUGUUUGAAAUCCCUGAAUCCUGACUCUGUACGGAGCAGUAGGCUUGAGUUAUAGUCCGUAUCCCGUACUACUUGUCUGGAGUAGGAAAGAGUGUGAUCUCAGUUUCCUAGCAAGUCAAAGGGAGACCACGAGGGUCUUCCUUAUGGUUCGCUAUAGUCCAUUAAUAAUUAAUAGGUCUAAUAAUCCUUCUUGUCCGGUAAGCAAAAGCAAGCAAGGGAGCCUCUGGCUUCGUCCGUUCGUCUCGCCACAACACAAGCUGUGGUAUAAUCUGUCUAUACCUCACUCGGUUCAGUAAGAUAAAGAUAUGGUUUGAUGUGUGAGGCCUCGCUUCACUAACAAAAGUCGCUUCCUCGUGAACUCCGUUAACUAGGCGCCCCUCUCCAAGUAGUCAGUCUGUUCUCUCGUGGAGAAAGCCUUACUCUCGUUUCGUUCGAACGUAGCCCGCAGGAGUCAAGGGGUUGUAGGGGCGACUUCCAGAGAUAAUUACGGCGAGGGGAGAUGAAGAGCAUUCUUCCUUCGCGAAUACCGACUUCACCAACCCCCAACCCGGCUAAAUGGUUUGACGCCUGCAUUUAAACUAACUCACCCUAUGCUAGUAUGCUAGUGUGCGGCUGAGAAAGUAUAUAAAGUAUAUAGAGGGCAAAGGUUUUCAAAAAGCCAUUCUCGGUGACGACAUUGUUAUCGCCGACGAAAAGGUUGCAAACGUGUAUACGGCCCCCUGAUAGGACUGCGACCUAACUAUGACCUAACUAUAUCGGUUGAAAAGUAGCUAGUCUCUGACAAAGGUGCUCUUGAGUUCGCUAAGCCAUUUAUAUGCGAUGAAGGUGGAACGGAUUUCUCUCCAAUCUCCUUUCGCCCGUUCACUCAGUACUCAGUAGCAGCUCCCGUAUUCGCGAUUCGCGAGGGUUGAAAAUGGAUUUCAGACAA
rnacentral:lncRNA from 1 species